CCUACGGGAGGCAGCAGUGAGGAAUAUUGGUCAAUGGACGAGAGUCUGAACCAGCCAAGUAGCGUGAAGGAUGACUGCCCUAUGGGUUGUAAACUUCUUUUAUAUGGGAAUAAAACAGGGUAUGCAUACCCUCUUGUAUGUACCAUAUGAAUAAGGAUCGGCUAACUCCGUGCCAGCAGCCGCGGUAAUACGGAGGAUCCGAGCGUUAUCCGGAUUUAUUGGGUUUAAAGGGAGCGUAGGUGGAUUGUUAAGUCAGUUGUGAAAGUUUGCGGCUCAACCGUAAAAUUGCAGUUGAAACUGGCAGUCUUGAGUACAGUAGAGGUGGGCGGAAUUCGUGGUGUAGCGGUGAAAUGCUUAGAUAUCACGAAGAACUCCGAUUGCGAAGGCAGCUCACUGGACUGCAACUGACACUGAUGCUCGAAAGUGUGGGUAUCAAAC
rnacentral:rRNA from 1 species